rnacentral:misc_RNA from 1 species
GCCACACACACGUGCAGACGCAGUGGCGCAGCCCUGUCGCUCUCCAAACACGGUCGCCCCUCGAGCACUUUGCAGAGAAGAGGCACUGCGCGGCGGGAGCAUCCGCUUUUCCCGACAGCGGAACUUGACGACGCGAGUUUCCAAACUGCACGACGAGGCAGCACUUGGCAUCACCGGCGAGGGAGGGCCGUAAGCGCCGCACGGCAAAGCGCUUCCGCGCCAGGAGCACACCACUCAUGCUCGGGCGCGCGAAACCUGCCCCAGUCUACGACCGCACACAUGUUUGUCAUCGGGCAAGAAAUCGCCCAGGCCAAGACGAACGUGGAAGGGGCCGCCAAGCGCUUGUGCCACCGCAGGACCCCGCCGCGAAGACAACAACGACAACAGUCAAGGCGGAACCGCGGGGACCGCAGUGGAGGGCAACGCCAGCAGCAACAGUAGCCUCAAGGACCCCGACAGAUUCAUGACGCAUGAGGACGGGGGCAGGGGUUAACACGCCGACCAGAGCGGAAUGCCCUAACGGCGAGGCAGGUACACAGGGCUGAGAGGGUCUGCUGGAGAGAAAGACAGUGCUUCAAAAGCGGACCGACCAGAUCAAGCGGAGCCGUGAGGUGGCGAUAUGCGCUCAGGGCAGGCGUCCAACAAGGACCUGGAUGCGACCCUUCAGCGGUGCUCCUCACAGGGGACAGUACGGACGUGCGACACCGUACCGUACGCGAGCAAGAUGCGAGUCAAGCCAAUAAAACCAUCGUCGCGGCAGCAUGUGGCCGUCUGCUUUCCAUUUUUUAUAUCUGAGUGCUGCAUUGGGGGUGUGCUGACGUGGAGCAUGAAGGAGGGAACCUACGAGCUUACCGUGUUCGCUUCCGCACAGUCUGAUGCUGUACAACUCGACGUGCGCCGGGGUCUGCAAGCAGUGUGGCCGCGCCUUUCUAUUCUCAAUGGGUACGACGCAUAAAGCAAGCGCGCGUUAGCAAUGACUGUGGCUCAUUCAUGGUGACAUCGCUCUUUUCCGAUGACCACGCCGGUGCAAACGGUGGUGCGCGUCAACAGUUCCGGGCUGCUUACGCCGUUUCUUCAUCCGGGCGACGCGGGAGGCGGAUGCCUCUGGAAGCUUGGAGGGCUACCGUGAGGCCCGAAUGGGAGCUGUGGGCACGCGGUUGGACUCUCGAGACGCUUGUGGAGGCGCAUAAUGCAGGCCGCCGGCCUGCCGCUGUACCUCGGUGUAGGUCGAGUGCACCGCGCCGGUGCCAAAUUCAUAGGGAGGGGGGCAGUGUCAAGCGGAUUGGGAGCGCAGGAGAGGGUCACAACACAGGUGACUGCGAAACCGCCAGAGGCUACGGUGUGGUGUGGGGGUGUGCACACGGUCGCAACUCAGCACACGACGGGAACGAGAAGCAGGGUGACGCCCUGAAAACGGUGGCGACUCAACUGCAAGGCCGGAGAGCGGCGGAGGCCGCCCACGCGAUUGCCACAAGGCGGCCUGGGUGGUGUCAAACUUCCCUCGAUAUUCUUCUUUGCUUCAGCUUUCGCCGAAGGAUGGGUAGCUUCGGGCGCGGCUAUGGAGGAAGGGCUACUGCUUGGACUUUGGACCGGUGUCGGGCCAUGCACCGCUAAACACUCCCCAGAUCCCCACGCACCGCCACUUUUACUGGCCUGGCAGCAAUCCGCUAUGCAGUAGACGACGGGCAACGCACAGGCGGCCAGCCAGGUUGUUUCCUCGAGUCUCCUUGCUCACCCCGAUCCUGGGAGGACCGUCGCCGACGUGCGACGCACGCAUACACACACACACACGCGCGCAGAUGGACCCGAUCGAAGUGCAGAGCUCAUACGCCCCCAUGGGUGAGUACAACUGUAGGGGGAGGGCCGAGCUCUGGCCCUUAGCCACACGUCUGCUUACCGACUUCAUGCAACUCGCGGGGAGGGGGGAAGUGAAGUUUUUUUUUUCCUUGAAAUGCGGCGGAGUGCUGAAAAGCGCAUGUGCGACCAGCCCGGAUGCUCUAGCAAUGAGUGCGCCUCGCACUCUCUGCCUCCCUUCAUUUUUUUUAUCUCAUUACCCAGUCGCGCGGAAAUAGUCUUGUCGCGCGUGUUGAGCAUUUGUGCCGUUGAUAUUUCGAUGUGGUCUCGCUUUUUUCCUUCUGGAAAGGGUGUGCGUGCGCUCUGGAUGGGAGAGUGCGCUGAAGAUGCAGCAGCUGACAUGGUGGUGACGGCAGGGCGUUGGUAGCGGUAGCGUUGGUGGUGUGCGGGUGCGUGUGCAUAAUGGUGUUGCUUCGGACUACGCUCAUUGUCAUCCCUACCCCUUCUUACCAUCUGCUGCUGUGCGCCUCGCUAUCUCUGCAGCCACGUCUUCAGCUUUCGCAUGGCUGCCGCCCGUCUCUCUUCUCUUUUUGGUGCGCCGGUUU